UACGUAGGGUGCGAGCGUUAAUCGGAAUUACUGGGCGUAAAGGGUGCGCAGGCGGUUAUAUAAGAAAGAUGUGAAAUCCCCGGGCUCAACCUGGGAACUGCGUUUGUGACUGUAUGACUAGAGUACGGUAGAGAGGGGUGGAAUUCCUGGUGUAGCAGUGAAAUGCGUAGAUAUCAGGAGGAACAUCGAUGGCGAAGGCAGCCCCUUGGACCUGUACUGACGCUCAUGCACGAAAGCGUGGGGAGCAAACAGG
rnacentral:rRNA from 1 species